GUUUCACAGAGCCGGGCUCUUUCAACAUCAAGCUGGGAGAAGCAGGCUCGCUGGUUCUUCAUCAGUAUUAACUGCAUACCUCUGGGAGGGGAAGGAGGCAUCGGCUGUGGAGGUUACCCUACAGUGCUCGGCCAGGUGCAGUAACCCAAUCUGUCUCCGGAGGGCAGGAAGAGGAGAGGAGAGAAGAGGAAGUGGCUCCCAUCCCAGCUCCGGUAGAAAGGAAGGGAUCCUGACCCUGCUGUGCCCCACUGCCCCCAGCCAGAACGUCGUUCUGGGGACCAACCUCCCGCCACACCCUAUUGUCCUUGGCUGGCUCCUUGCUCUGGGGACUACCCCCUCUGUGUUCCAUUGCCCCCGACUGGCCCCUCGCUCUGGGGGUACCCCAUGGAGAACAAAGGCCUGGUGAGAUCAGCCUCCCUGCACCAGUCUCUACAGCACUUGUAUGAGCCCUAAUUUAAAGGUGGCCCAGAAGGGGCUGAGAACAGAAUCUAGAAGGUGGGCUGAAGAGUAACCCAAAAGGGGCAGAAGAAUUGUUAGUCUGACCUUCUGGUUGGACCUUUGCGAUCCAAGGGAGAGACUGAACUUUAAGUGUGACCAGGCCGUAGCGCCAGGUUGCUCGAAGAGGACGACCACUGCAGAACAGAUCGGCCAACAAAAGGAAGUGCAGG